AUUGAACGCUGGCGGCAUGCCUUACACAUGCAAGUCGAACGGUAACGCGGGGCAACCCGGCGACGAGUGGCGAACGGGUGAGUAAUACAUCGGAACGUGCCCAGUAGUGGGGGAUAGCCCGGCGAAAGCCGGAUUAAUACCGCAUACGACCUACGGGUGAAAGCGGGGGAUCGCAAGACCUCGCGCUAUUGGAGCGGCCGAUGUCAGAUUAGCUAGUUGGUGGGGUAAAAGCCUACCAAGGCGACGAUCUGUAGCUGGUCUGAGAGGACGACCAGCCACACUGGGACUGAGACACGGCCCAGACUCCUACGGGAGGCAGCAGUGGGGAAUUUGGACAAUGGGGGCAACCCUGAUCCAGCCAUGCCGCGUGCGGGAAGAAGGCCUCGG
rnacentral:rRNA from 1 species